UGUUAAUGUUAUCCUGAUGAGUGACGAGAAGCCAUUGGGAAGUCUGCAUCUAUAUUAUGUACUCCUAACAUCUAGCAGCGGACAAGGUGAGGAAGGUGGAUAUGCUUGAAGAAGUCACUGUUAUCUGGUCUGAGAAGGUUAAGGACGAAUUGGUGUUGGAUGGCAAUGACAUUGAGCUUGUUUCCGGAUCUGCUGCCCUGAUAAACCAAAAAUGCCAUGUGAAGAACAAAGAUAUCCGGAAGUUCCUUGAUGGUAUCUAUGUCAGUGAGAAGGGGCAAAUAGCCGAGGAGGAGUGAGAGUUAGUGGCCUACAUUUCUUGAUCGUUUUCUUGGAUUGAUUCCCUUUUAUCAUAUCAAGAUGCUUGUGGGGAUUUCUUAGAGAUGACUUCUAUUUUGAACUUAAAAUAGAAGUCAUGUUUUUUGGAGUAUAUAUGCUUGC